UACAGAGGUCCCAAGCGUUGUUCGGAUUCAUUGGGCGUAAAGGGUGCGUAGGUGGCGUCGUAAGUCGGGUGUGAAAUCUCGGGGCUUAACUCCGAAACUGCAUUCGAUACUGCGGUGCUUGAGGACUGGAGAGGAGACUGGAAUUUACGGUGUAGCAGUGAAAUGCGUAGAGAGUCGUAAGGAAGACCAGUGGCGAAGGCGGGUCUCUGGACAGUUCCUGACACUGAGGCACGAAGGCCAGGGGAGCAAACGGG
rnacentral:rRNA from 1 species